CAAUAGCGUAUAUUAAAGUUGUUGCAGUUAAAAAGCUCGUAGUUGGAUUUCUGGUGGGAGCGAUCGGUCUGGCGCUUAGCGCGAGUACUUGCAUCGUCUCCGGCCAUCCUUGGGGAGAGUCUGUCUGGCAUUAGGUUGUCGGGCAGAGGAUCUUCAUCGUUUACUGUGAAAAAAUUAGAGUGUUCAAAGCAGGCUUAUGCCGUUGAAUAUAUUAGCAUGGAAUAAUAAGAUAGGACUUUGGUACUAUUUUGUUGGUUUGCGCACCAAAGUAAUGAUUAAUAGGGACAGUUGGGGGUAUUCGUAUUCCGUUGUCAGAGGUGAAAUUCUUGGAUUUAUGGAAGACGAACUACUGCGAAAGCAUUUACCAAGGAUGUUUUCAUUAA
rnacentral:rRNA from 1 species